AAGAUAAUCAGAUCUUUCAAGGAAGAAAAGUAGUGCUCAUGACUUUCUUCAGGGCCUCCAAAACUAGUGGAAGGAAGGGAGGAAGCUGUCCUCAGACUGGAGUCGCCUGAGCCUGAAUGCUUGCAACAGAGUGGACCCUCUGUUAAAGCACUUAAGAGACAAGUAGUAGUGUUAAAUCAGGUGGGAACAGUAUAAAUACCAAAUUUCACUGAGAAUCUUCGUAGGUAAUACUAAAAUUCUGCUACCAACAUACGCCAUCUGCUUUAUUUUCAAAAACAUGACAAUGGCUUCAACUUCUCUCCUGGUUUGCCUGUUUGUUACAGUGUUCGUUGGAUUGCUUGCCACUCCUACAACAGCUAAUGCUAACUGGAUAGCUGGAGCAGGAUACCAUGGCGGUUAUAAUCAUCCAAUUGGCCUCUCUGACAUCUUGCUUAAUAUCAGACCCUAUGUAGAUACACUUGUACAUACGGAAAAUCCAGGUAUUACUGCCUACCACAUUCCACAUAUGAAUUUCGUCUAUAAUUCUAAUGAUCAAUACCCACACUAUUCUGGUGCAGAUUAUACUUAUGGAAAUUAUCCUGCAGAAAAUUAUCCUUUCGUACACUAUUAAGUCUUAUAUCAAGAAGAUAACAUAGAGAAAUGACUAAGCUUAAAACCAAAUUACAGAUUAAGGAAGAAAAGAAAGUUAUAUAUCACAAAUAAGAUAUUUGUUAGAUCAAAGGAUUUUUAUUAAUUGUUUUAAAGGUUCCCAGCAAAAUAAAACUUAGAUUAAUCAUGACUUUCUUCUUGAUAAAAAAAUAUACUUCAUAAAAAUAUUUCUUUUGAGUUAAACUUGAAAUAAAACAAGUUUUCCUCUAGAGAAAUCUUUCCUUCCAAAAUAGUAUUCCUUAACUCUUAACCUUUAAGUGCUGAACAGAAAUAAAAUACUAUCUUCAGAGCUAUUCUUGUGUUAAAUAAAUAAAUGAAGGAUUUAGUCUUACACCAAGAGCAUAGCAAGCCUUUAUUUCUUUGUGUAUAAGUCAUGUUUGCAAUAAAUUUCCCAAUUUAUGCUCUCUUGAAUGACAUUAUGAAUGAUUUAUGAAAAGCUUCUAAUAAAAACAAUAAAAUAACUUUAGAAUAGAUUUGAUUGAAUGUAACAUAAUGUUAUUGUAAGCCCUAUCACUCAAAGGCAUUAGAAUAUUACUUAAUACAGAUUGUGGAAAAAUAAAAGAAGUAAAACAUUU